rnacentral:rRNA from 1 species
UACGAAGGGGGCUAGCGUUGCUCGGAAUCACUGGGCGUAAAGGGCGCGUAGGCGGCUCAUGAAGGCUGUGGUGAAAGUCCGGGGCUCAACCUCGGAUCGGCCGUGGCGACUCGUGGGCUGGAGCACUGUAGAGGCGGGUGGAAUUCCUGGUGUAGCGGUGAAAUGCGCAGAUAUCAGGAGGAACACCAAUUGCGAAGGCAGCUCGCUGGGACGUUACUGACACUAAGGCGCGAAAGCGUGGGGAGCGAACAGG